rfam:Streptomyces afghaniensis 772 genomic scaffold STAFG_scaffold1455, whole genome shotgun sequence.
CCCACGAACCCACUCACUCACGCAGGGCAGGAGCGGGGGACCCAGGUAAGUCGCCGGUCCGCGCAGCGGAACGGCUCGGGGUGAAGCCGCGUACGGCACACAGCGCCGUAGGCGGCCGGGCACCUCCCGGCCCGAACCCGACAGCUCACCUCGCAGGCGCCGGAGAGGAACAUC